UAACAUGGUACCUUUUGUUUGAACCCACCCAUUUUGAUCAAAACUAUUGGAACAUGUGACUGACAGGUCUUGUUUGUUAUCCAGGUGUGCCCUGUUAUAUUGAAUGUUUAAACAAUUAAUAGCUCUAAAUGUCUUCUCUUAAUUUGAGCCUUGGGUUUUGCCUGUGAAGACUGCAUUUGUUGUUAAAAAAGCUAAACCAACAUCAAGACCAGAAAUGUGUCUAUUGGAGAAAAGCAAGCCAUUUUGAAGCUGAGAACAGAGAGAAAAUCAGUUGGAGCCAUUGCACAAGCAUUGGACAUAGCCAAUACAACAAUUUGAAAUGCCCUGAAAAAGAAAGAAACCACUGCUGUACUAACAAUCAGACAUUGAACAGGUCAGCCAAGGAAAACAACAGCAGUUGCUGACAGAAACAUUGUGAGAGCUGUGAUAAAAAACCCAAAAUCAACAGUCAGUGACAUCAACAACAACCUCCACAGGGCAGGGUGAAGGUAUCACAAUCCACCGUUCAAAGAAGACUUAGAACAGAAAUAUAGAAGCCAUACCACAAGAUGCAAACCACUUAUCAUCAGUAAGAAGCAGAAUGCUAGAUUGGAAUUUGCAAAGAAAUACAGAGAUGUGCCACAAAUGUUCUGGAACCAAGAUUAAACUCUACUAAAUUGAUAGAAAGGCUAAAGUGUAGCGAAAUAAAGGAUCUGUGUAUGAUCCAAUACAUAUGAGCCCAUCAGUCAUUCAUGGUGGACAUAGUGUCAUGGCUUGGGUUUGCAUAGCUGCUUCUCAAUAAUCUUUAUUGUAGCAGCAGAACGAAGUCAGAAGCCUACAGACACAUUCCGUCUGCCAAUAUAUAGAGAAAUGUAUCCAAUCUAGUAGGUAGGACAGUGACCCAAAACAUACUACCACCUCAACAAAGGACUUCAUCAGGGGAAAAAGUGGAAGUAAAUCACCAGACUCUAAUACUUCCCAGUUCAGGUAGGGAAUGAGGAGAUGGGAGGCAGGCUUGACACCACUCAGAAGGUGUUUUAUUCUCCAAUGUUUACUUCCACUUUCUGUGUUUUUUUUUUUUUUAUUUAAUUUUAUUUUAAAUUGACCUACACACACAUGCACACACUUGGUGCAGCUUUGCUCUCUCUCUUGAGGCUCUCGUCUCCCCCUUCUUUAUCCUCGCCACAGCUCACUGCAACACAGAACCCUCAUUAGUAAAAUUCCUCUCAAGUGUGCCACCCUUACCACUCACCUUCUCCGUCUCCACCCUCCAUUCACAAACUGCCGCUUGACCACGUCUCUGCUUCCACACAGACCUUAACCCAACUGAGCUUGCAUUUCACCUCCUAAAGAGGAGACUGAAGGGAGAAACCCCCCAAAACAAACAAUAACUGAAAGAAGCUAUGGUAUAAGCCUGGAGAAGCAUCACAAAAGAAGAAUUUUGGUAAUGUCAGUGGGUCUCUGGUUUGCAGUUAUUGCAAGCAAGGGAUAUAUUAAUUGGUAUUUACUUUAAUUUACCUUGACUAUCCGUUCCAAUACUUUCCAAUACUACAUUGCACUCUUUGCUAUGCAAAAGGUUUGCUUGAUUCUGUUUAUCAGCAGAAAGUUCAUCUGAGGCUGAACUUACCUUUUGACCUUUCACUGUCUGACAUUUACAUUGGGCCUGAAGGCUGCGCUUUUAGAGUUGAUUUAACAACUGAGCUAAUGGAAAUUUUUGAAGUACAAAUCUCCUGCCCACACAUCUGUCUUUCCUUGAAACCCAGAGGUUCUGCACAAAGUUUGGGUCCUAUGGUUUUGGCAAUGAUACAAAUGAAAGUUCUAAGUGUGAGACUGAUACAGGCACUUUUUGUACUCUAAGUGAGACACAAUACUUGUUGCACGAUAUAAGAGGCGCACACACAUUGCAUGAUAUAACAGUCGCACACACAGCCCACUGAACUUAGUGUAAUACCAAUAUUGACAUCUGCCCACCUCCUAUGCUGUCUGUGCUUGACACUAAGUUGUGGGCUAAGCACAUAGGUCUUGUUUCAUCUGCUAAACCACAUGCAGUCACACUUAAGCCUGGAGUCCUGCUGCCAUACAAGAAACAAUACUACUGAGCCCCAUAUGCUGUUGAAGGGAUACAGCCAGUUAUUUCCUCAUUACAAGGCAUCCUAAUAGAGACAAAAAUUCUCUGUUAAUCAGAUAAUACUCCUAUCAUGCCCUUUGUACAUGACACAAAUAUGAUUCUUUUUCUAUCCUAGUUACUGCUAUGCAUCUUACUGCUAUGCAUAAAAAGGCCUGUAUUCUGCCUUUUUCUCAAUUCUGGUGCAUCCAGAUAGUUAGAUUCUGUUUGCUUUUACAUAUGAUAUUAAGCAAUACACAAGACUGGCAGGGCUAUACAGAGUCCAGCUGUUUAUGCAGCCACUGUUAAAAGGGACUUAGAGGCUUUGGACAUGUCUGACAGAACAGUUUUCGAUCCAAUAUGCAGAUGACAUACUUCUACAAACAAUGAUGCAUGUGUUACAGACUCAUUGAAACUCCUCUCUGCAUUAGCUGACAAAAGUCAUCACACCUUUUUGGCCAAGUAGCAGUUUGCACAGCCUCAGGUACAAUACUUAAGCCAUAUUCCUGUCAGAAGGGACAGCGAUCCAUCGCCCCAGAGUAAAUGAAGGAGCUACAAAGCCUGCCUGUGCCUAAAACCAAGAAGGACAUGAUAUCCUUUCUGGGUUUGGUAAAUUACUGCUGUCACAGGAUCCCUGACUUUGCUGUUCAAGCACUUAGAAAGACCAAGCACUGGUCAGAUGCCAUGCACACAGCCUUUUGCUCCUCAUAUCUGUUAAUAAUAAGGCUAUGCCACGGGGGUGCUCACUCAGAAACACAGCACCCACAUGAGACCUGUGGCCUACUACUCUUUGAAACUCAGCCCCGCAAGGUAUGGAUAUUUUCUAUCUUCUGGAGUGAUUCUUUCUUCUCAUAUUACUGUACAGCAUGCACAACCACUUAACCCUGCUACUCUUCUUCCAGUUUCAGAUGAUGAUGACGACACACUGUUGCAUGACUACUGUGCCUUGGUUCAUGAGGUAAUGUCUCCUCGCCCUGAUCACCAAACCUUUCUGGUGGUUCCUGCUCUAUAACCUAAUGGCUCAGGAUAUGCCAGUGUUACUGCUCAUGAUGUUAUUGAAACUUGUGCAUUAUCACAAGGCAUUUCAGCCAAAGCAGCUGAACACUUUGCUCUCACACAUGCAUGUGUGCUGGUAGAAGGCAGACUGUGAACAUUUAUACAGACUCUUGUUAUGCUUUUGGAGUAGUACGUGAUUUAGGUCAAAUAUGGAUGCAUUGUGGCUUCCUCACAUCAUCUGGUAAACCAAUACUACAUGGCUAAUUGAUUUCUAAUCUGUUAGAUACUAUUCAGUUGCCCUCUAAGAUCGCUGUAGUUAAAUGUCAAGCCCACACUUCCGCCACUGUCCAUCUUUUCCCUUCGCAACAGCUGACACAUUUCCUGUGAAGUGUGAGCACCUAAACUCACACAGACACCUCCUUUUGUUUUUUACUCUUACUUAGCUGAGAGGCAGAGACUUUCUUCUGAUGAAAAAAAAAAUUAUGCCAUUCUAAAAGUUGUGUUCCUAAUGCAUCAGACAUCUGGGUUCAGCCAGAUGGUUGUCUAGUGUGCCCUUCAAAUUAGCUUGAAACAAUGACUCAUCACAGUCCAGUGCAAGUAAGCAAAGGGGGGAAUCAUAUCUGAUAUACAAAAAUAAUGGUUUGCCUCUCGUGUGGCUCCACAUUCCCACAUCCCUUACCACUUUCAAAGCUCAGGACAGGUAGAAAGACUGACUAGAGUGCUAAAACAGAAGCUGAAUAAGAUAAUAAGUGAAACAGGCCUGAAAUGGCCUGAAGCUCUCCCCAUUGUGCUUUACUCUGUCAGAUUUUCCUCCCACAGAACUACAGGUACUGAUGGGGAGACCGGUGAACUUGUCAUCUGCAGUGCAUCAACUUCCACUGAGGAGAGGCUGACUUUACUGUAAAGGAGCAGACCUGGAGGGUUCACAGGCAUAGAGUGUUGUGGUGAACUGGAAUGUUUGGAUGCUGUUGUGCCCCCGCCCCCCCAUUCUCAUGCGUUCACUCAGGUUUGUUGACGGUGGAGUGGCUGGCCGCUUUAUGUCCCAGGGCGCACUCAUAUCUGUGUUACCUUCUUGCUCCCCCUUUUAGUUAUGCUGUCACAGCUAGUUUUGCUCGAAUCCCUGCUUGCACUCUGCAUGCAAAGUACAUUGUCCUUAACCAUUACGGGACAAAAGCUUACCUAACUUACCUAACAAUCUCUUUCUCUCUCUCACUGUCUCUCUCUCUCUGUCAAGCUACACAUGCUACUCCUGAGAUACCAGUGAUCCUGACCCCUUCUGCUCUCUGGACCUGCCUGAUCCAUCCUGAUGCCCUACUUCUGGUUGGAGUUCUCAUUGGUUGGAGAUCGCUCACUGCUGCUGGGGGUGGCCCCACAUGGACGGCCUGUAGAUCAUUGGCAUUGCUGAGGAUGGUGUCACUUAGGGGCCGUGGAGAUGUACUGUGAUGACUUGGGACUGCGAUUGCUGUGGUAGCUUUGGAGCUGCGGUUGCCGCAAGCAGUUUUGCACUCAGGUCUUCAUCAGUGGGCAGUGGAUAGGUUCAACAAACCGGACUUCAUGUGAAAACUGUAAUGAAUUUACCGGUUGCACAGUUGCACUAUUUGUCCACAUAGUACACAGUUAUAGAAGGGAUUUAUUUAUAAUUGCACUGUCCAUUAUCACCCAGAUGAAGAUGGGUUCUCUUUUGAAUCCGGUUCCUCGCAAGUUUUCUUCCUUUCAUCAUUUCAGGGAGUUUUUCCUUGCCGCUGUUGCCUCUGGCUUGUUCAUUAGGGAUGAAUUCACAUAUUUACAUGAAUGUACACUGCCUGGCCAAAAAAAGGUCGCUGUUUGGGUUUAAAUAAGCAAAUACUUAAGAGCCUAUGAUUGGAUCAUUACUGCAGUGAUUAAUAUGUUUCAGCUGGCAACAGUUCUUUUAACCUUAACUGAUGCAGUGUGUAGCUUCUCAUUUCUUAAACAACCAUGGCAGAUUACGUAUCCCAUGGUCGUGGAAAAGAUCUUACUGAAGGGGAAAAUUGUUGGCCUGCAUCAAGCAAAGAAAACAACUAAGGAGAUUGCUGAAAUCACUGGAACUGGGUUAUGAAAUGUCCAGUGCAUUAUUAAAGCCUGGGAGGAUAGUAGUGAACUGUCAGCUUUACAGCAGAAAUGUAGUUGGAAAAAAAUCUUGAAUGAUCGUGAUCGGAGAUCUUUAAAACGCUUUAAAACGGCCAGGUCUAGGUUCAGCCUCAUUGUGCGGAAAUAAAAUGAAGUCAGCUGAGCACCUGAAUGUACUGAAUGACCAGGUUAUCCCGUCAAUGGACUUUUUCUUCCCUGACAGCACAGGCAUAUUCCAGGAUGAAAAUUCAUCAGGCUUAACUUGUGAAAGAGUCGUUCAGGGAGCAUGAGGAAUCAUUUUCACACAUGAAUUGGCCACCACAGAGUCCUUAACCCCAUUGAAAGUCUUUGGGAUGUGCUGGAGAAAACUUUACGGAGUGGUUAGACUCUCCUGUCCUCAAUGCAAGAUCUCAGCCAAAAAUUAAUGCAACUCUGGAUGAAAAUAAAUGUUGUGAAGUUGCAUAAGGUUGUUGAAACAAUGCCAGGAUGAAUGCGUGCCGUAAUCAAAGCUAAAUGCAGUGCAACAAAAUUACAUUAGAUUGUGCGACUUUUUUUUUUGGCCAGGCAGUGUAUUUAUUUCUGUCUAUUAUUUAUUAUUUAUUUUAUUAUUCUUUUUGCUCUGUUUUUGUGUCAGACCAUUUUCUUUUGGCCCUGUCACACUUUUCCAUUCACACAUUUGAACACAGUCACCAGUUUGAAUUUCCCCUCAACAUGUGUUGAUUAUAAUAAUAUAAUAUAAUAAUAUAAUAAUAACCACUACUAAGAACACCAAAGAGAAUGCAACGAAUGUUAAUAAGACUUCAGAGGUAUGAGGCUAAACUUAACAGUGCCCAGAAAAACACAUGCUGCUGACACCCUGGGCAGAACAUAUCUUGCGCAUACACAAAACACAGGACUGGUACUUGUAAGUAUUGGCAGAGAGAUGAAACAGAAAUCUUGCUUGAUUUACGUUAGUUACGCGUAUUUAUGCGUUUCGUUAAGUGUUUCCCUCGUGAGGUUCUUUGUGUUGUACGUUGCCAUGACGUUCACGCGCACGCGAAACUACUAUGAUGGUACCUCAACAUUUCAGACACACCGUGAAACACUGCAAAAAGAGGCUGAAACUGCUGAAACAUGAUGCCUGGAAAAUCCAAGUUUCAAGAUAUCUGGCUCACCAAAGAAGAUUACAAAGAAUUGCUUGCCAGAGAUCUAAAGGACCAUCACUUGGCCAGGUGCAGAGCCUGUUGUAAAUCUGUCAAAGUGGAUAGGGAGAUGGGAGAAGCGGCUCUUUCAAGUCUUUUCGAAAGCAGCACCCACUUUAGCCAACUUUGUGGAAACAGUCAAUAAUCACAGGCGUUCCCAGAGAGGACACAUUAAAAGCUGAGGUCCUGUGGUGUUUGAACAUGAUGGAGUCUCACUACUCUUUCAAUUCCAGUGAAGGGACAGGUGUGCUAUUUUCUGCAAUGUUCUCCGACAGUGCAAUUGCGAAGACUUUUGCCUGUGGAGCAACAAGUCCAUGUACUUUGGCUCCGCAUUUCAAACAAUUGUUGUGCAAAAAACUCUCUUCUGAUAGGGAGGACUGGAAUGUUGGAAUAUUGGAAUGUUUUAUAAUGUAUUUGAUCUGCAUUAUGUUUUGAUAUGUUUUCAGCGCUUGCACCCAAAUAUGUUCAGUCAAUGACUGUAUAUUGUGUUUAAUAAACAAAGCAUUUGUGAUAA